rnacentral:lncRNA from 1 species
AUGUAAAUCACCAAAGACCAAAGGACAAUAGUGUAAAUCACCAAAGACCAAAGGACAAUAGUGUAAAUCACCAAAGACCAAAGGACAAUGAUGUAAAUCACCAAAGACAAAAGGACAAUGAUGUAAAUCACCAAAGACCAAAGGACAAUGGUGUAAAUCAUCAAAGAACAAUGGUGUAAAUCACCGAAGACAAAAGGACAAUGAUGUAAAUCACCAAAGACCAAAGGACAAUGAUGUAAAUC